CAGGUUGGCUAGUCAACACCUGCUCUGUGCUUGCCCUUGUUCUCAGAGCGCUAGGGACAGGAGAGCCUUACCGCUCACGUUCCUGUCUCAGAAAAGCAACGGAUAAUGAUGUAGAAUUCGUUUUUAUAAUGAUGUAUAGCCAGCAAAUUCCCCAAACUCGCGUCACAUCUUAUUAUAGAGACGUGCUUGCCUCUGGGGCGUCUCCUUGCAGGCCCAUCUCAGGCGAGCAGCCAAACAAAGGAAGAGGCACGGAAGGCAGAGCGGCAGGAAGGAGGCUGUAAGGAAACGAUGUGCACAAUCGCCGCCUGGCAAGCUCACAGCCAUCCCCGCAAUUGUGGAAGUAGCAGUGCCAAGAGGCUAUUUAGGAAGACUUUUCUCCCCACCCACUCAUAAAAAUAACGUACUAGGGACAAGUGGCCUUACGCCCUCCAACUAAGCUUACCAGCCUACUCAACAUGAAGAUGGUAAGGGUGAAGACCAUUAUGAUGAUCCACUUCCACUUAAAAAACAAAACUUUGCUUGUGAUGUCCAGAUGACGGC
rnacentral:lncRNA from 1 species